GCAUUAUACCGUGAAACUGCGAAUGGCUCAUUAAAUCAGUUAUCGUUUAUUUGAUAGUACCUUACUACUUGGAUAACCGUGGUAAUUCUAGAGCUAAUACAUGCUGAAAACCCCAACUUCGGGAGGGGUGUAUUUAUUAGAUAAAAAACCAACGCCCUUCGGGGCUUCUUGGUGAUUCAUGAUAACUUCACGGAUCGCAUGGCCUUGCGCCGGCGACGGUUCAUUCAAAUUUCUGCCCUAUCAACUUUCGAUGGUAAGGUAUUGGCUUACCAUGGUUUCAACGGGUAACGGGGAAUUAGGGUUCGAUUCCGGAGAGGGAGCCUGAGAAACGGCUACCACAUCCAAGGAAGGCAGCAGGCGCGCAAAUUACCCAAUCCCGACACGGGGAGGUAGUGACAAUAAAUACUGAUACAGGGCUCUUUUGGGUCUUGUAAUUGGAAUGAGUACAAUUUAAACCUCUUAACGAGGAACAAUUGGAGGGCAAGUCUGGUGCCAGCAGCCGCGGUAAUUCCAGCUCCAAUAGCGUAUAUUAAAGUUGUUGCAGUUAAAAAGCUCGUAGUUGAAACUUGGGCCUGGCUGGCAGGUCCGCCUCACCGCGUGUACUUGUCCGGCCGGGCCUUUCCUUCUGGAGAACCUCAUGCCCUUCACUGGGUGUGUUGGGGAACCAGGACUUUUACUUUGAAAAAAUUAGAGUGUUCAAAGCAGGCCUUUGCUCGAAUACGUUAGCAUGGAAUAAUAGAAUAGGACGUGCGGUCCUAUUUUGUUGGUUUCUAGGACCGCCGUAAUGAUUAAUAGGGACAGUCGGGGGCAUCAGUAUUCAAUUGUCAGAGGUGAAAUUCUUGGAUUUAUUGAAGACUAACUACUGCGAAAGCAUUUGCCAAGGAUGUUUUCAUUAAUCAGUGAACGAAAGUUAGGGGAUCGAAGACGAUCAGAUACCGUCGUAGUCUUAACCGU
rnacentral:rRNA from 1 species